rnacentral:rRNA from 1 species
UGGGGAAUCUCCGCAAUGGACGAAAGUCUGACGGAGCAACGCCGCGUGAGUGAAGAAGGUUUUCGGAUCGUAAAACUCUGUCUUUUGGGGCGAACGUGAGUAUGGUGAACAAUCAUAGUCAGUGACGGUACCAAAGGAGGAAGCCACGGCUAACUACGUGCCAGCAGCCGCGGUAAUACGUAGGUGGCAAGCGUUGUCCGGAAUUAUUGGGCGUAAAGAGCGCGUAGGCGGGAUAGUCAGUCUGUUGUAAAGUGCGGGGCUCAACCCCGUGAUGGCAAUGGAAACAGCUAUUCUUGAGUGCAGGAGAGGAAAGUGGAAUUCCCAGUGUAGCGGUGAAAUGCGUAGAUAUUGGGAGGAACACCAGUGGCGAAGGCGACUUUCUGGACUGUGUCUGACGCUGAGGCGCGAAAGCCAGGGGGAGCGAACGGGAUUAGAUACCCCCGGUAGUCCUGGCCGUAAACGAUGGGUACUAGGUGUGGGAGGUAUCGACCCCUUCCGUGCCGGAGUUAACGCAAUAAGUACCCCG